rnacentral:rRNA from 1 species
CCUACGGGUGGCAGCAGUGGGGAAUAUUGCACAAUGGGGGAAACCCUGAUGCAGCAACGCCGCGUGAGUGAUGACGGCCUUCGGGUUGUAAAGCUCUGUCUUCAGGGACGAUAAUGUCGGUACCUGAGGAGGAAGCCACGCCUAACUACGGGCCACCAGCCGCGGUCAUACGGAGGGGGCGGGUGUUUUCCGGAUUUACUGGGCGUAAAGGGGGCGUAGGCGGGAUUUUAAGGGGGACGUGAAAUAAUCGGGCCCAACUGGAGUGCUGCCUUUCAAACUGGAAGUCUAGAGUGGAGGAGAGGAGAAUGGAAUGCCUAGUGUAGCGGUGAAAUGCGUAGAGAUUAGGAAGAACACCAGUGGCGAAGGCGAUUCACUGGACUGUAACUGACGCUGAGGCUCGAAAGCGUGGGGAGCAAACAGGAUUAGAUACCCUGGUAGUC